UUUUAAUCUUGAAUAGCCUACUUUUAAUGGGAUUUGUGUUUUACAGGUCUAAAAGAGUUUAAGGAGCUAAUCGGGAGCUAAACGGAGCACCGGGACGCGAAUCGGAUCAACCGGGGAGGUGAAAUGAACAAAACCGGGUUAAUCACGAAGAUUGGAUGUGUUUUAGGGCUGAAUUACGAGACGUGGGCGAAAACGGUGAGUAAAACGGAGCUAUAACGAAGAAGUUACGAAGAAAACAGUUUCGGACAAAACCGGCAAAACCAGAGGCCGUCGGGGACGCCCCUAUGGCCGUUGGCGACGGGCCUCCGUUUGCUGAGUCGCGAAAUCUUGUUUCUUGUUGAUCUUUGACGAGUUAUAAUGUUUUGUUUGACCAUUUUCGGGGGUUACGAACCUUGGGAGGUAAAAACACCUCCUUGGAACCAUUCUUGAUCAUCCAAUUCAUCCCUAAUCAAUCCUAACACAACCACUAACACCAUCUUCAUCCUAACCCUA
rnacentral:lncRNA from 1 species